rfam:Schistosoma mansoni strain Puerto Rico chromosome 4, complete genome
AUCCGGCUGACGAGUUCCCAAGUAGGACGAAACGAUUGUCCUGGAU